CCAGCGAACUUGGCAGAGAUGCCUUGGUGCCUUCGGGAACGCUGAGACAGGUGCUGCAUGGCUGUCGUCAGCUCGUGUUGUGAAAUGUUGGUUAAGUCCCGCAACGAGCGCAACCCUUAUCCUUUGUUGCCAGCGAUUCGGUCGGGAACUCAAAGGAGACUGCCGGUGAUAAACCGGAGGAAGGUGGGGAUGACGUCAAGUCAUCAUGGCCCUUACGAGUAGGGCUACACACGUGCUACAAUGGCGCAUACAGAGAGAAGCGACCUCGCGAGAGCAAGCGGACCUCAUAAAGUGCGUCGUAGUCCGGAUCGGAGUCUGCAACUCGACUCCGUGAAGUCGGAAUCGCUAGUAAUCGUGGAUCAGAAUGCCACGGUGAAUACGUUCCCGGGCCUUGUACACACCGCCCGUCACACCAUGGGAGUGGGUUGCAAAAGAAGUAGGUAGCUUAACCUUCGGGAGGGCGCUUACCACUUUGUGAUUCAUGACUGGGGUGAAGUCGUAACAAGGUAAGCGUAGCGAG
rnacentral:rRNA from 1 species